GCUGGGUGAGCAGUGCAGUAAUAGGAGUGUUUUGCAGAAUGCAGACGGGAAGCUGACGCUGCAGGAAUUUCAGGAGGGCUCCAAGGCCGACCCCUCCAUCGUGCAGGCGCUCUCCCUCUACGACGGGCUCGUAUAGUCCCGGGGCCGAGCGGCGAUGCCUGGGGGAAGAUGCUCUCCGUGCCAUCCGACCACCGCCGUGUGAAGCUUGCCUGUCCCUCCCGGCCUUCCUUUCUGUCCUGCGAGCAAGGAGUGCCCUCAAAGCGCCAGCUCACUCCCCUCUCCGCACUCUGAACCAGCCGCUGCCAUUCGCCAAACUCCGCUUCUCCCGAGCGAUCCCCGCGCCAGGCCCGGUCUGAGCGGCAGCGAACGGCCGAGGCCUCAGGGCCGGGGGAGCGGCGGAGCAUCGCCGCAGGCACGGCCCCCUCUCGGCUCCUCGCCCCCUUUGCUCCCUUUUUCCUACAUUUCCGAUGGGACCGCGGAUGCGCCGGCGGGGUCCUCUCUCGGGAGGCGGCCGGGGAGGAGCCCGAAGGUACCGGGGGCUGCAGCCCCGGGGUCUGCCCGUGCGGGGUGGCCGGGGAGCCGAGGCACCGACGGCGAUUGGGAACAGAGUCCUGGCGUCACCCACGAUGCCGCUGGCAGCCCGGCUCGGCUCACUAGGGAUAUAUAUUAUAUUAUUAUUUUAUUUUUUCUGGUGAGACAGUAUUGUGCUUUUUUGGUUUGGUUUUGUUUUGUUGUUUUUUUUUUUUUUUCCCCCCUUCGGUGGAAAAAAGUGAGGCUUUUUUUUAUAUGCCUAUCUUGACGAUCGAUAUCCUUAUUUAUUUGUUGUAAAUGUUGCUGCUGUGUUUUGUCUCUCGUGCGUGUGUCCACCCACCCAGGUGAGGAUUUGUAAGGUUUACAUGCUCGUAUUGCGGGGACCCGGGAGCCUGCAAUAACAAUGAAGCCAAAAAUCUGCCUUCCCCCCUCUCCUCCCACCCCUUGUAUCCCAAGCUCCGUGGGCUGGCUGCUGUUUGGAGGGGAUGCUGUAGCUUCUUUUCCUCUUCCUGCUCCCGUGUUCCCUGCAUUUUUCUGUUCACUCUUCCCUUUGGGGGCUCAGUGAGGGCUCACUCAGCCCAGCCUCUGAGCAGACCAAGCUCCAUCCCUCAGUCGGGCAGGGUGAGGAAACUGCUGGGCACCAGAACAUCCCUAUUUCCUUCAUUUCCUUCAUUUUCUCACUGCAUGAAAAAGUAUUCAUGGAGCCCAGGGUUGGGUUUUGCUUUCAGGCAGAUUCCUUCGCUGCGUUCUGCUUUGCAAACGGUGGGAAGGUGUUUGGUGGUGGCUGUGAACCGUCCUGUGCUGGAGGGGCAGCCUUGCUCUGUCUUGCUCUGUCCCCUCCUCCCAGCUGGGACAGGGUGACAGGGGAGUGCCAGCGGGGCUGAGCACAGCUCAGGGUGUCUCCUCACCCCACCACUCCCUCAGGACCUGGGAGGUUUUUCUGUGACCCCAAGCAGAGCCGCUUGCACCCAGCUUGGAGGAGGCAAAGGGCUGGGAAUUUACACCUGGGGACGCUGAGCUGCAGCCCCCCAUCAUGAGCAGGGCCUGCACGGCCUCUCCAAACUCCAUCAGCACCCAGCACCCCUCUGGGACGUGCCCCCAGCUCAGCCCCACCGUGGGACACAGUUGGCAUUCUGCUGGAGAGUGCGCGUUGUGUGGGUGAUGCCUCAGCUGCUCUGGGAAAGGAGAGAUGUGCAUUCCCUCAGGAGCAGAGUGCCAGAAGCCUUAGGGACCCUAAAGCCACCCUGAGGCCCCACCCUUCCAUCCCUGGUCCAGCUGAUGGCAGUAUUAUCUUUCCACCCAGCUGUCUCCCAGCUCCUGUGGCUGAGCCCAGACUGUCCCCGUGGCAGUGGGAGGUGACAUCUGCCUGUGGAGGACAGUGUGCCAGGUGUCUCACGAUGCAGGAGACAAGGUGGUGCCUCAGAGUGCCCUCAAUCCUCCUGGCAUGGCAGGGACAGUUGCCCCAGCCAAGGGAUGCUGGUUCUUCACCGUGCAGCCCCACUCCCCAGUUUGGGAUUUUGUGCUUGUGGUACUUCUUGAUGCCCAUAAAAAAACACCUUUCCCCAUCCCCAAGGAGACUGACCUCACGUCCACGUGCAAUAUUUCUGCCUCUUCUGCAGUUCCUGCCCCUGAGGAUGCCCGUGUUUCAUUGUGGGGGUGCUUCUGGAGGGUGUCCCUCGCUCACUCCCACGCAAACCUCCUUUUCCUUGUUGCUCUGUGGCCAAAAUGCAACUCUCUGGGGUAGGUUUUUGCAGUGCCUGCAACUUGUUGAAUGCUCAUCUGCCAGACUGGUCCCCUCCUGGUGCCAAUCAAUGUUCCCAAUGAAUGUGACACUGCUGCAAUCACCUCUGCUGACGAACGACGGCCCCUGCCACGUUUGACAUAGUUCCCAGGCAAAGGCAAACCUCAUUUACUCUGACACUGUUGCCCUGGAAAGCUUUUAAUUUUUGGAGGACCUGUCAUGGCUUGAGCUCCCUCAGUGCCCACAGAUGUCUCCCAGGGAGUCAGCCCUGCCAGGGCUCUUGACACGCUGAGCGUCCCUGAGCAAAAUGUUUUGGCCUCAGUGUUCCCCCUUGGCUGUGGAUUUGGGACCCUGGCUUGGAAGCUUCUAGUCACCCUUUUGGGAAGCACUGAGGGCCCCUGAUUCCUCCUGACCACCACCAGGAUCUGCAGCAUCUUGAUCUCACUGAGAAUAAAGCUUGGAGCAUCUCGCGCUUGGAAAUGUCAGCCUUAACCUCCUCGUGCCUCAGUUUCCCCAUCAGUGGAGUGGCUGGGGUGAGCCAUCCCCCCCCUGGAAAGCAGUUUGGUGUCUGUGCUCUGGCAAGCACCAGUGCUGGGUAUGGCUCAGGACUGCUUGGCAGGACCCGCCGGGCACCAGGCACGUGCAGAACACCGGGCACGGUGCGUGGGGUCGUCGGUGGGUCUCUGAUUCCAGCCUCUGUCCUACACCUGCUCAUGAAGGAACAGGCAGCAAGCCCUGCUUUGUCUCUGUUUGUACUCGGGUUCCUGGUGCCUGUCCAAAAUAGAGCCCUGGCCAUGGGAAGGGGGCCCAGAGUACAGCCAGGCAGAGGUGAGGGUCCAGCCCUGGUGACUGUGGCAUGUGCCCCCCUCUCAUUUGUCCCUGUCGGUGUUGCCCCAUUAAAUGCCACGUCUGUACUUUCCUUUCUUUUCACUUUUCUGUCUGUGUGCUGAUCGUUGCUGCUUUAUAUCUGUCUUUCCUUGAGCUCUGGGGCUGGGCUGAGCUGAGCUGUUUCCCCCAGGAGCAAGAACGUGGGAGAGGGCUCUGGGGGCAGAUUUCCCCCUGCCCUCUCCUCACAGCACAAACCAGGACCCCAGAGAGAGAGAAGUGAAGGGUUUUUCCUCUGGAGCAGGCUGUUAAUUAAUGCAGUUAAUAACGAGACCAGGCUGGUGCCAGGAGCACUCUCCACUGGGUUGGUGGAGGGGGGUGUUUGUUUAUGGGAGACCCCAGACCCUGUUUGUGCCAGGUACCAGCUGCAUCUCACCCUCCUUCACAGGAGCCUGCUGGUUUUUCCUGUGCCAUCAGGACACCACAUUCCUGUUGGAUGGGAGGCUGAGGCUGUGGGAAUCCCAGCCCAGGUCACUGCUCCUCAGUGGGCAGGGAUGCAGCUGCCCAGGGGGUGGAAUUGACCUGGGGUCUUGGGAUUUGGGUUUGAGCCCCACUUGGAGCAGGGCUGGCUUUGAAGCGGGGCCAGGCAUGGCAUGAGGGCAGCUGAAAUCAGUCAGAGCUGCCCCCUUCCCAUGUAUUUAGGCUUGGGGGGGGGUCUUUUGGGAUGGGUGAGUGACCUGCAGCCAGCUCACUGUUCCCAUCCAAGGAGGAGAUUUGGGGCAUUUAGUGAGAGCAUCUGUCACCUGUCCUUCCCAAGGGCAUUGGAGGGGAGGGUCUGGCUGGGACAGAAGCGAGGGCUGAGGGCAAAGGAGAAAGGUGAUGGCCCCAGCCUCAGUGCACAGUUUGGGGUGCAGCAGUUUUGGGGUCUCAGUUACACAUUUCAGCCCUGCCUAUUCCAGCAGCGCUGCAGGAAAGUCAUCCUUCCCUUCUCUCUCUGCUCCCGUGGCCACCAGCCCUGGGCUGGGUGCCCUGUGCUGCAGGUGUGACCCCUGCCCAGGGGGUGGCCGAGCCCUGGGCUGAGAAGCAGCAGCUCCAGCAAAGAGCCUUGUUUGUGAAGAUGAAGCCUUGUGUGCGUCCGUGCCGGUGUCUCGGCUUGCAUGCCCCGCUGCCUUGUCUUGAGAUGAAUUCAAGAGCAAACCAAGCAAAUGAAACAGUUUAAUAACAGAACAAAACAAAACCCAGGAACUUUGUGACAGUGGAAAUAAAAGCUUAAUGACAGUAAUGGA